rnacentral:rRNA from 1 species
UACGAAGGGGGCUAGCGUUGCUCGGAAUGACUGGGCGUAAAGGGCGCGUAGGCGGAUGGCACAGUCAGAUGUGAAAUUCCCGGGCUUAACCUGGGGGCUGCAUUUGAUACGUGUUGUCUUGAGUUCGGAAGAGGGUCGUGGAAUUCCCAGUGUAGAGGUGAAAUUCGUAGAUAUUGGGAAGAACACCGGUGGCGAAGGCGGCGUCCUGGUCCGACACUGACGCUGAGGCGCGAAAGCGUGGGUAGCAAACAGG